rnacentral:rRNA from 1 species
AUGGAUGUCAACAGAGCCCCAGGACCUGAUAACAUUCCUGCUGAAUUUUAUCAGCACUGCUGGGAUAUUGUUAAAAAUGACAUCAUGCGACUCUUUGACAGUUUUCAUAAAGGUACCCUUGAUGUCCAGCGUCUUAACUAUGGCAUCAUCACGUUACUGCCUAAGAUUUCGGGAGCUGAUCGUAUUCAACAGUUCCGCCCGAUUUGCCUUCUCCGUUGCCCUUACAAGAUGAUCACUAAGGUCUUAGAUAGGAGAGUGGCUAGGUAUGCUAAUAUCCUUAUCAGCCCCACCCAGAACGCCUUUAUAAAAGGCAGGAGCAUAAUGGAUGGGGUGCUGGCCCUCCAUGAACUCUUGAAUUAUACCCAUGUCAAGAAGAGAGUUGGGGUGGUUCUUAAACUCGAUUUUGAAAAAGCAUACGACAAAGUCAAUUGGGACUUCCUGUUGAAAUGUCAUGAACUUCGAGGUUUUGAUCCUAAAUGGUGUGGUUGGGUUAGACAGAUUCUACAUAAUGGCACGGUUAGCAUCAAAUUAAACAAUUGCGUCGGGCCUUACUUCCAAAGUGCCAAAGGGGUGCGGCAGGGGGAUCCUUAUUCACCCUUCCUGUUCAACUUGGCUGUAGAAUGCCUAACCAAGAUGAUCAAAUGUGCCCAGAAAAACAAUCUCAUAACUGGGUUGGCUUCUGACCUGAUUCCCAAUGGGGUCGCGGUGCUGCAAUAUGCGGAUGACACAAUCUUAUGCCUGGAA